rnacentral:rRNA from 1 species
AUACGGAGGAUCCGAGCGUUAUCCGGAUUUAUUGGGUUUAAAGGGAGCGUAGGUGGAUUGUUAAGUCGGUUGUGAAAGUUUGCGGCUCAACCGUAAAAUUGCAGUUGAAACUGGCAGUCUUGAGUACAGUAGAGGUGGGCGGAAUUCGUGGUGUAGCGGUGAAAUGCUUAGAUAUCACGAAGAACUCCGAUUGCGAAGGCAGCUCACUAGACUGUUACUGACACUGAUGCUCGAAAGUGUGGGUAUCAAACAGGAUUAGAUACCCUGGUAGUCCACACAGUAAACGAUGAAUACUCGCUGUUUGCGAUAUACAGUAAGCGGCCAAGCGAAAGCAUUAAGUAUUCCACCUGGGGAGUACGCCGGCAACGGUGAAACUCAAAUGAAUUGACGGGG